rnacentral:rRNA from 1 species
GUAGGGAAUAUUGGGCAAUGGUCGGAAGACUGACCCAGCCAUGCCGCGUGCAGGAAGACGGCCCUCUGGGUUGUAAACUGCUUUUAUCUGGGAAGAAAAAGGCCAUGCGUGGCAAAUUGCCGGUACCAGAUGAAUAAGCACCGGCUAACUCCGUGCCAGCAGCCGCGGUAAUACGGAGGGUGCGAGCGUUGUCCGGAUUUAUUGGGUUUAAAGUGUGCGUAGGCGGCUGAUUAAGUCAGCGGUGAAAGACUUCGGCUUAACCGGAGCAGUGCCGUUGAUACUGGUUGGCUUGAGUGUCGGAGGGGUACAUGGAAUUGAUGGUGUAGCGGUGAAAUGCAUAGAUACCAUCAGGAACACCGAUAGCGAAGGCAUUGUACUGGCCGACAACUGACGCUGAUGCACGAAAGUGUGGGGAUCGAACAGGAUUAGAAACCCUUGUAGUCC